rnacentral:rRNA from 1 species
AAUCGCUAGUAAUCGUAGAUCAGCCAUGCUACGGUGAAUACGUUCCCGGGUCUUGUACUCACCGCCCGUCACACCAUGGGAGUUGAUUUCACUCGAAGCCGGAAUACUAAACUAGUUACCGUCCACAGUGGAAUCAGCGACUGGGGUGAAGUCGUAACAAGGUAACCGUAGGAGAACCUGCGGUUGGAUCACCUCCUUUCUAG